UGUCAAUAUGGAGAAAACCUCUGAGGAAGGUUUCCACCACCUGCUUCAUCUAUCACACCAGGAAUGAAGGUGUUCUGGAGGAGAAAGGGGUCUAACCCGGUACUAACAAACCAAACACAUUACAAUACAAUG